CCUCAUUCUCAAAGGAAACCUGCACAAUACUGUCAAAAGCUGAGUCUGGGAGUUUAAAUUCAUAACUUUGCUAGACACUAAAAAUCACA